AAUCAUUCUCUUCAUCAUUAUCACGCAAACAAACCCUUUCUCUCAUCCCUAUUCUCCCCCGUCUUAAAGGAGAGGCGAGAGUCAGGAGGGAGAGGCGAGAGAGCGCGAGCAACUGAGCAAGCGAGUCCGGACUCUGGAAGGGAAACAAUGGAAGCAUUCUGUUUGAGGGGAAUGUUGUCUGGCUCGAGGCCACCAACACUAUCAACUGAGGCCGAUGGAUCGAUCUCAUCAGAUCUAGAUAACAUAGCUGAGAUCACUCAAUUAGGUGUAGGUGUCGUCGGACCAGGCUUCAUUCCCCUCAAUUACUGCUUCCGUUACGACGAUCAACCUCAUCUUGUCGUUCUUCAUUUUUUUUUCUUCCCGCUAAACUGGAUCUGGAUUUUGGAUGAGCUUUGAUAUUUAUCAAAUGUCGAUCGUUGAUCGAACACUUCCACUGCUGGUAUUAUUGUUGGAUGGCGCUCUUUCAAUAAGGUAUCGUACAUGAUCACUUCCUUGGUAAUCGAUUUAUUGAUCUCUGCAUCUCUUUCUUGUUUUUGUUGUUGUUGUUGUUGUAUCUUGUUAAUGGUGGUGGACCAGCUUGCAUCGUCGUCCUCGUUGUUUUUUUACUUUGUAUUUUACCAGUAAGAGAGCUUUAUCCUAAGCUUUCCAAAAGAGGAUAGUUGAUUCCUGGUCGAUUUAUGCGAGUUUAAUGAUGGUUUAUAUUUCUUGCAAAUCACAUGGCUCAAGUACAAUAACUGCACUGCACCAUGGGUUUCAAAGAAUAAGGAUAUAACAGCUUCGAGGAAUCGAGUCUAAUAUCCUGAUCAUUAGGCAUAAAUCUGUCCAUAAUCUUUCCAAGAUAUUCCUCUUUUUAAUUUCUGUUUUUCUUUUUUUUUUUUAUUUAUUCAGUCUCGUGAAGUUGUAAUCUAUGUUAUAGAUAUUAUUCAGAGAUACUAUUAGCUUUUGUAAAGCGAAUGCUGACACUAAUUUUAUUGCUUAAAGUAAGGUGAGUCAGAGUUGCACGAUCAUAUUGGUUGGAGGAUGGAGAGGCAUCCAGCUUGACUCAUAUUUUGGGAUACUUUUCUGAAUUUCUCCACCUCUGAGCUUCUGCAUUCUACUCUUUUAGAUAUUGUAUGUACGUAUUUAUGAAAUGUGAAAUAUAUGUAUAUAUAGCAAAUCGUUUUUUCAAGGUUUUAUCUAAUUUUUCUUUUCAUUGGAUGUAGUAUCAAGUAUUCUGGACACAUUAUCAAACAGGAAAAACACUUAAAAUGUGAUAUGCAAGUAUGGAAUCCAUUUAUGUGCA